UGUAAAAUAGCUAGGUACAUAGCACGACAAAAGAUUAAGAAUCUUAAAUACAAUUAAAAUGUAUUGCAAGAAAUAAAAAUUAUGCUAUGAAUCGAAUAUAAUUAAGAAAUUCAAAUUGAGCCUAUGUUUGGUAGCCUUUAUUUCGAAAAAAAUUAGGUUUAAAAUCAUAUUUUUUAAAGACAAUGUAGUUAAAAAAUAUUUAAAAAAAAUUGAAUUUACGUCUAAAAUAUUCGAUCGUUCGAACGUGGACUGAAUACGACUUUAAUACCCCUGACUUGCUUCCUAAAAAUAGGGAAAAUUUUGAAUUAUUAGGGAUGGCAGCGGGUCCAGUUCGCCUGUUUGCUACCGCAAUCCUUCUUCUUCUUCUUUUGAAGAGAGGGAGAUGAAAGAGAAGGCGGUGGUUUAGUAAUGAAGACAGUGUCAGUGUUGGUGAUGAAAGAGAUGAAGAGGAAACUGAAACCCAACAGCUUAAAUAUGGGUUUGGGGAUUCAAUUCAAUUAGGUCCCCAACAACUCAAAUACAUAACCGUUCUCAAUGAUUCCUCAGAUUUCUUCAACUUGUAAUCUUCCUUCAUCUUUUUACAUAUAAUUGUUGAAGAGGGUGCUCCAGAAAGUUUCUUAGCCUGGGUGUAUGGUCUGAGGCUGUUCUUGGCAUGUUGUUGAAAUAACCUCAUUGCAUAAUUCCAUCUACAGAAUCCCUGAUCUUUUAGAACCUCAACAGCUCCAAUGCUUGCUCCCACUAACCAAGCCCUGCUUGUGGAACUCAUUUUCAGCUUCUUCUUCUUUUGUAUAGUUAAAAUUAUUCACGGUUUGUGCUCAAUGGAUCUAAAUAAUAAUGAAAAAUAGUGGGGAGAAUAUUGAGUUUAUAUACAUGUAUUAUGUAUACAAAGAAACUGGGGGAGAUUUUGCCAGCAGAAAAGAAAAUGCCUCUGGUUUUGGAUGGUAGUUUUAUGUGCA
rnacentral:lncRNA from 1 species